GGGGAUGUAGCUCAUCUGGUAGAGCGCGUGCUUAGCAUCCAUCUGACGAGUGAAUCGUCAGCACAUGCUCCUGCACGAGGUACUGGGUUCGACUCCCAGCUUCUCCA